rnacentral:rRNA from 1 species
AUUGAACGCUGGCGGCAGGCCUAACACAUGCAAGUCGAGCGGAUGAAGGGAGCUUGCUCCUGGAUUCAGCGGCGGACGGGUGAGUAAUUCCUAGGAAUCUGCCUGGUAGUGGGGGAUAACGUCCGGAAACGGGCGCUAAUACCGCAUACGUCCUGCGGGAGAAAGUGGGGGAUCUUCGGACCUCACGCUAUCAGAUGAGCCUAGUUCGGAUUAGCUAGUUGGUGGGGUAAAGGCCUACCAAGGCGACGAUCCGUAACUGGUCUGAGAGGAUGAUCAGUCACACUGGAAGUGAGACACGGUCCAGACUACUACGGGAGGCAGCAGUGGGGAAUAUUGGACAAUGGGCGAAAGCCUGAUCCAGCCAUGCCGAGUGUGUGAAGAAGGUCUUCGGAUUGUAAAGCACUUUAAGUUGGGAGGAAGGGAAGUAAGUUAAUACCUUGCUGUUUUGACGUUACCAACAGAAUAAGCACCGGCUAACUUCGUG